rnacentral:rRNA from 1 species
ACGAGUCUUUGACUGGGUUGUAGCUGGCCUCUCAACGGAGGCAUGUGCACGCCUGGUUCAAUUCCACUCUACACCUGUGCACUUACUGUGGGCUUUGGAUACUUGUCGAACGGGCAACCGUUAGGCAAUUGUCCGGGUCUGCGUUUAUUACAAACUCUUAUAAAGUAUCAGAAUGUGUAUUGCGAUGUAACGCAUCUAUAUACAACUUUCAGCAACGGAUCUCUUGGCUCUCGCAUCGAUGAAGAACGCAGCGAAAUGCGAUAAGUAAUGUGAAUUGCAGAAUUCAGUGAAUCAUCGAAUCUUUGAACGCACCUUGCGCUCCUUGGUAUUCCGAGGAGCAUGCCUGUUUGAGUGUCAUGAAAUCUUCAAUCUACAGUCCUUUGCGGGAUUUGUAGGCUUGGACUUGGGGGCUUGCCGUGCUUGUCAUCGGCUCCUCUUAAACGCAUUAGCUCGAUUCCUUGCGGAUCAGCUCUCGGUGUGAUAAUUGUCUACGCCGCGACUGUGAAGCGUUUGGCGGGCUUCAAACCGUCUCGUGUAAUGAGACAAUACAUUUGACCUCUGACCUCAAAUCAGGUAGGACUACCCGCUGAACUUAAGCAUAUCA